AUGAAGAUUUCUUCAGCUGGUAUGCCCAGACAACACUCAGUUGAAUUUCUUACUGGAGAUGAGCUAGUAUUGGGUUGUCCUGUAGAGCCACAGUCAAUUUCCUCCUGGGAGUAUUUGCAAUAUAAGUUGCUGCAGCCGUGGACUCCAUCACUUCAAACAAAUUUCAAGAAUGAGGCCUUACAGGAAGAGAAAAUGGUGGGUUUCAUGGUGGCAUUAAUAGGACAGAUGCAUUGGCUUCUUUGGGACUACUUCUCAUUUGAUGAAAAUUUUAGUGUGCCACAUGUUGCCCAAAGAGUCCUGUGUGUCACAUCACCAUGGGGUCCCGGUGUUCACAAAAAUCCAAUGACGAAUCACAUGGGUUGGCUGGAACUUGAGAUAGCCGCCUUGAUGACUAUUGUGAAGGCUGAGUUCAUAAGUAGCGGCCUACAGAUUCAUCCCAGUGAGAAUGCUCAAGUAAAUUUCCCCUGGUCCAGUUGUUACUUAUUUCUUCAGGUUGGAAAGUUGCAGAAUGUUAUGGUGAAGCUCAACACUUGGCCCUCUGGAGGAUGGUUCUUAUCGGCUGUGACAUUCUCACCAAAUCUGCACGCAAUUGUGUGCUGCAACAAGGCAGUGAGCAUUCAAUCUCUCGUUGUUGCCCUUCAUAUGGCUGAAUGCUGUGGUGUGUUAAUCUCAGUUAUAGUCACUCACACCAUAUGGUUACACAAACUGGUAUUCCCUGAUGGUAGCCUGGUAUACACGCAAGUCAGAACUGGGAGCAUUUUAUUCAUUUGGACCUCUCAGGGAGCUCAUAAAGACAAGGGAUAUUUUUCUGUACAGCUGCCUUUGGUGGAUCAGGAGCUAUGGAGGAUUGCGGAAUAUUGGCGGUCAGAUAUUCAAGGUUUGCUGUUGGCCAAUACAAUUUUAGAAGAUUCUUUCUGGCCUGGGCAACAUAUCAUUGAAGCAUGCCUUGCGAGCCCUUAUCACAGGUUCAUGGGCGCAAUUGAUGUCGAGUGGCUCUACACCCAUAAUUCUUAUGGAGAACUUACAGUAGUUGACAACCAGCUGAAGAGUAAAGAGAUUGUCACAACUCGGCCAGUCGGUUCUGAUGAGUUUAAAUGUCUGGAGGCCUUGUCGAGUAUUCUACAUUGCACUGAUAACUAUUUGCGAGUAAUUAUGUUCGAUGAGAUUGAGCCGCAGCUUACUGUGCAUUGGAUGAAAUUUGUAGUUCAGGGCAAGACUAUUGCUGUAUCCAACAUCACCAAGUCCUCAAUGGUAUGUACUCCCGUCAAUCACCUAUGUUUGGAGGAAUAUCUAGUUUGUCCAAGUCACAACUUCUCUAUUGCACCUGAACUUACAUUAUGCAAGAGCGGAAAGUUGGAGUUUAACAACAGGAUUUCCUAUAUGGCGGAGCAGUACACUGAGGUUAAUUCUUAUAUGACGAAAAUUGGACUGCAUUCCUUGUUUGUGAGCAUCAGCGCAGUAGAGCGAACCUCUCAAAGGAAUAACCCCAUUCAUCAAAUGGUCGAGCAGCGAUUGUCAUUUCCUGCAAGUACCAAGCCAGCACACAUACAAGCUGCAGUUUGUGAGAAUCAAGGAGUGUACUCCUUAUUCUGCAAUUGCUCAUGUGGCAAUCCCAACACUAUUGCUAUUGGGGUUGAGUGCUCUGACAGGCAAGGAGUGUACCCCCACAGCAAAAUUAUUUUGGACUAUCAUAGUAGGCUUGGUUGUCUGAAUCUUGGGUUUCUGUCAACAUGGCCAGAUGUCUCAACGGUUCAAAUUAACGUGUUACCUUGCACUGAACUUAGCUCCUAG
rnacentral:rRNA from 1 species